rnacentral:rRNA from 1 species
AUUGAACGCUGGCGGCAGGCCUAACACAUGCAAGUCGAGCGGAGCGGCGGACGGGUGAGUAAUGCCUAGGAAUCUGCCUGGUAGUGGGGUAUCACGUCCGGAAACGGGCGCUAAUACCGCAUACUAUCAGAUGAGCCUAGGGCGGAUUAGCUAGUUGGGGGGGUAAAGGCAUAACAAGGCGACGAUCCGGAACUGGUCUGAUAGGAUGAUCAGUCACACUGUAAAUGAGACACGGUCCAGACUCCUACGGGAGGCAGCAGUGGGGAAUAUUGGACAAUGGGCGAAAGCCUGACCCAGCCAUGCCGCGUGUGUGAAGAAGGUCUUCGGAUUGUAAAGCAAUUUAAGUUGGGAGGCGUUACCAACAGAAUAAGCACCGGCUAACUUCGUGCCAGCAGGCGCGGUAAUUC